rnacentral:misc_RNA from 1 species
GUCUGUUAUACAAAAAUGAUAAAGAAGUUGACUCUGGAAGCCCAUCGGAUGUUGAGAUAUUAGAAAACCCAACAGAUUCUAAGAAGAGGAAGCUACUCCACGUGCUUGAUGAUAACGAAGUAGUGUAUGAAGAUGAGGAAGGCCCUAUUACUCAAGCAGACUUGCAAAAGUGGUUUGUUGAUGAUUGGGAUAAAAGAACUCCUGUAAAAGUAUCUAACGAUGGGUGCACCAAUGACUUUUUAAUGGUUGGUCUUUCCACAAAGGACAUGCCAGUGACCAAAGCCGAUUCAAUAGAUGUUUUAUGUGAUUAUAUCAUG